rnacentral:tRNA from 1 species
AAAGAAUUAGUUAAACAAUAACGUUAGAAUGUCAAACUAAAAUUACUAAAGAUUUAGUAUUCUUUG